UUUUUUUGAAAUUAAAAAAAAUAAUAAUAAAAUAAAAUAAAAUUCAAAUUUCAAAAACAGCAAAACCAGUUCGGGUGCCCCAUUUUUCUCAUUUUUGUCUUCCCCCCAAAUUUUCCCUCCCUCCCUCUCUCCAUCUACCCCCAAAACCAGUGUCGUUCUUCCGGUUCCGGCAACCACUUUCGCACGAGCCAGCCACCGUUUCGAGCUCCGUCAUUCUUCCGGUUCCGACGAGGUGUUUCACACGAGCCCGCCAUCGUUUCGAGCUCCAUCUUCGGCCAACUCCGUCGUUCUUCCAGUUCCGGCUGUCUUCCAUCUCUGGCCGUCUUCCAAUUCCGGUCGUCUUCCAUCUCCGACAGAACGACCGCCGACGAGGUCCCCCAAUUCCGGCGACCCAUUUCUGGCCCAGAUUUCCCCAAUUUCUGGCUCUGAUCACAUACCCAACAAGCAGGACAAAGAUCCCCAGACACAUGUGGCACAAGUAAAUGUCUAUAACAAGUGAUUUGUCAAGCGGUCAUCCGUUAUGUAAAUGUGGAAUUCCUGCACGUCUAAGGAACUCUUGGACCACAUCCAAUCUCUCUAGAAAGUGGUAUGGAUGUAAUAACUACAAGAAAGCCGGUGAUUGUGAUUUUUUUGAAUGGGCUGAUAAGGAGAUGUUUGCAUACGAGAAGAGAUUAGUGCAACAUCUGAAAGAGAUGGAGGAGAGAAGACAGGCUGACAAUGACAAAGUUGAGAAAUUAAUUGAAAAAAAAUGCAAGAAACAAUUAGCGCAACAUUUGAAAGAAAUGGAGGAGAAAGUUGAAGAAUUUAUUGAAAAAAAAAUGUAAGGAGCAAUUAGCGCAACAUAAUGAGAAGAUGUUUUGUGUUUCCUGUUUUA